CCUAAGUUUCCCUUCUCUAAUCUUUUCCAAUUUUAAUUUCUUUUCCAUUCUCUUAAAUGUCAUUUAGAAUAUUCUCUCUAGGUAUGCACUUCCCCAUCAUGUGGUAUCAUGAGCCUUAGGUUUUUUAUCUUCUUAGGAAUUGCAUGCUAGAGUAGAAUAGCUUAUUUUAAUCAUUUUCGCUCAGCCAAUUUUAUUCCGCCCAGCAUCAGCGUUAUUUUUUGUGUCAACUUGUAUGAUUUCGUUUGAACUCAUUUCUUAUCCAAAUUGAGUGAAAUUUUUUUUAAAAGUUUCGUCUGGAUGUGUAGUUUCAUGUACAAUUUUUACUUUGUUAAAAUUCGUUAUGUGCUGUUCCCAGUAAAAUGUUUUCUCCACUGUGUUCAUCCAGUAUUCUGCUGUUGAAUUAAUAUUCCACUGUUUUGCUUUGUUGUUGGCUGUUUGGAGUUUGUUGUGGCUGGAAUUACUCACUGGACGUUGCUACACCCUCCCAACACUCUUAAGCAAGGAUUAAAGACUUCAAAUCAAUGCUUGGAGGGGCUGAACCAUGGCUGUCCAGAGCCUUGUGCAAGUAGACAUUUCUUCAAACAGCAACUAUGCUAUUGGAGGUCUUCAACAAACACAGUUCAGAUGAGGAGGAAAAUCUUAACACAGACAUGUAAGAUGUGGAGAGAUUUCAAGACAAGGCUAACAUGUCUGUGUGUAUUUGGAGACAGACAACAUGAGAAUCCAUCUAAGGAAUAUUCAUUCACAUAAAAAGAAUGGAUUCAAUUUCGUAAAAGUAGAGAGACUGAGGAAUGGAAGGGUAUAAGGUUAGCUGCCCAAGAAAGGCAAAGGCUAAAUGAUGCACCACACGUGUUAUCACGAGGUGGUUAUGCGAAACUGGAGGAGAAACUUAAGAAGAGUCAAGCGGAUGAGUUGGGGCUUGAGUCCCCAGACCUAGCACCUCCACCAAUAAGGAUGAGUUGGUUGAGCAGCAGACGCAGGGAACAUUUACUCCCCAAGGUAAGGAGGACAUAUUAACAACGACCAUUGGAAAACCGGAGCACCCAGGACGUGUACGUGCAGUUCCUGGGUCCAUUGGUCUUCGUCAGUACUUUGGCCCUGUGCAAAAAACAACUCAAAUCCCACAAGGAACGAGUCAGGAGGCAUUGAGGGAGAUGGAUCGUCAGUGGGAAGAAAUAUUUCGUCAAAUGGAGCAGCGAUUCAAUGAGCAACUACAAGAACAAAAACAAAUACAAAGAGCGCUUGAGGAGAAGCUACAGUCCAUGACGCAGGGCACCCUAGGUGUGCCAACUGAAACUCCCACACCCCCUCCUGCCAGCACCAAAGGAUCGUGCUCUGCUGCUGAACCUACUAGCUACAGUGGUCAGUAUGACAUGUUGGUUGAAGGGGAUCCCGCACGCAUUAUGGCUGUUGGACGAGUAGUUGAGGGAGGAGUCACUAUUCAUGGUGUUCCCAUAGCACCCGAGCACGUGCGUGUCAUGAUUGACGAGGUUCGGGAUCCCCAGGCUCAGGUGCCUGUACCCACUCCAGAAAUUCAAUUUGUGGGAGAGGCCGUAGGAACUGUUUUAGCUUGGCCUAGAGCAUUGAUUGUCACACACAUUGGGACACAACAGUUCACACGUCCUCAAAAGCAGCCGAUGAAUGAGGAACCAAUACCUGAUGCUGAUGAUGGUGAUGACAUGGCUGAAGCGGAGGAUGAUCCCAUAUCAAAACUAAUGGCAAGAUGUCCCAGGUUUACCAAAGGAUCAGUAGAAAUAUACUGGGAUUUAAGAGUAUUUGGUCUCCCCCCCACUUGCCAUUAUAUAUCACAUUCAAUGAUGUAUCGGAGAUCAUUUCGGGCAACAUGUGGUUGAAUAUUUCUGUUAUUCAACUCUGGUGCAUGACUCACUGGCAACUGGUAGUCCUCGUUCCCAAAAAAAAUACAGUUGUCUUCUUAUGUUUGCUGCAUAAGAAGAUUAAAGAUGACUUGAAAGUCCUGCUUCAAAGAGUAAUGGGUAAAUCUCGAGGUCAGCUAAAACAAGUGUUGUAUCCCAAGUGUAACAAACAACUUGAUUCAUGGGAAUGUGGGUACUAUGUGAUGUG